rnacentral:misc_RNA from 1 species
GUAUUGUAUUGCGUUAAACGCUGCAUACAUUCCAUGAGACUUUGUUACGGUGUGUGUGUAAAGACGUAGAACCAUGGGCAAAGAGGACAGAGGCCCUCAAGGCCAUAGAACUACAGAGGGUGCACAGGUGUGAGUGGAUGUGUAAACAGAGCGUGCACAUGCCCCCAUUCGAGGACCAGCAACAACUCGUGUCGACAUUCGGUAAUGAUCCUUCCGCAGGUUCACCUACGGAAA